UUUGAACUUAUUUUGAUCAUUUCAUUUGUUGACCAUUUGUUCAUUUCAAAUCAACAGUUAUGCAUUCGUGUUAAUGUUUUAGCUAUGCAUUUGCAGCGUGAAUCGAAAGUUUAUUGUUGCGUUUUAACCUGUCAAGAUUCCCCCCCAAAACGAAGAGGGAAAACACAGACGGUACCAAGAAUUUAACACAGCCCAAUGACAACGAUUGCACUAAAACCUAAUGCGACACCAGUGGAGACUAAGAAAAAAGCUGCAGCAAAAAAGGGAACCAAAGUAAUGGUCAAACCUGCCGAGAAUGGGAGCAGCAAGGCUGAGGUUGGCUUCUUU